GUCUACGGCCAUACCACCCUGAACGCGCCCGAUCUCAUCUGAUCUCGGAAGCUAAGCAGGGUCGGGCCUGGUUAGUACUUGGAUGGGAGACAAAUACAAGAAUAAUGAAAAAA
rnacentral:rRNA from 1 species